GAUGAACGCUGGCGGCGUGCCUAAUACAUGCAAGUCGAGUGAACGGACGAUAAGCUUGCUUCUCUGAUGUUAGCGGCGGAGGGGCGAGUAACACGUGGAUAACCUAUCUAUAAGACUGGGACAACUUCGGAAAACCGGUGCUAAUACCGGAUAAAAUUUUGAACCACAUGGUCAAAAAUUGAAAGACGGUCUUGCGGUCACUUAUAUAUGGCUCCGCGCCGCAUUAGCUAGUUGGUAAGGUAACGGCUUACCAACGCAACGAUGCAUAGCCGAGCUGAGAGGCUGAUAGGACACACUGGAACUGAGACACGGUCCAAACGCCUACGGUAGGCAGCAGUAGAGAAGUUACCGCAAUUGGCGAAAGCCUGACAGAGCAAAGCCGCGUGGGUGAGUAAGGUACUCGGAGCUUUAAACUCUGUUAUUAGGGAAGAACAUAUGUGUAAGUAACUGUGCGCAACAUGACGGUACCUAAUCAGAAAGCCACGGCUAACUACGUG
rnacentral:rRNA from 1 species